GCCCUGCCCUGAUCCCUGCCCUCUGGUUUACCAGCAGGCGGCUGGAAGCUGUGGUCCCUGUGGGGCGAAUGCACGCGAGACUGCGGGGGAGGCCUGCAGACGAGGACGCGCACCUGCCUGCCCGCGCAGGGCGUGGAGGGCGGCAGCUGCGAGGGGGUGCUGGAGGAGGGCCGCCAGUGCAACCGCGAAGCCUGCGGCCCCGCUGGGCGCACCAGCUCCCGGAGCCAGUCCCUGAGGUCCACAGAUGCCCGGCGGCGUGAGGAGCUGGGGGACGAGCUGCAGCACUUUGGGUUCCCGGCCCCCCAGACUGGUGACCCAGCAGCUGAGGAGUGGUCCCCAUGGAGCGUGUGCUCCAGCACCUGCGGCGAGGGCUGGCAGACCCGCACGCGCUUCUGCGUGUCCUCCUCCUACAGCACGCAGUGCAGUGGGCCCCUGCGCGAGCAGCGGCUGUGCAACAACUCUGCUGUGUGCCCAGUGCAUGGUGCCUGGGAUGAAUGGUCACCCUGGAGUCUCUGCUCCAGCACCUGUGGCCGUGGCUUUCGGGAUCGCACGCGCACCUGCAGGCCCCCACAGUUUGGGGGCAACCCCUGUGAGGGUCCAGAGAAGCAAACCAAGUUCUGCAACAUCGCCCUAUGCCCUGGUAGGUGAGAGAGAGGGCGCGGGGGCAGGGAGGAAGGGAAGAAAGGGGAAGUCAC